GUCGUAAGCAGGAAGACGUACCCUUUGUACUAGACUCUCUCUCCAGCGAACCCACGUAGGAGCUCUGGAUAAGGUUGAACUAGUUGGGCAGGCACAUCCAACUUUGUAAAAGCACAUCCAACUUUGUAAAAGCGUGCCAAUACAAGAUAUUUGUCGAGCUACCUUGGUCCACAAGGAUCUUAUGGACCCACCAAUUGGCUAUUGUUGCAGUGAUAACCACCGGGUCGUCUUGGUUUGGGUCGCUUAGGGAGAAAUCUUCGUCGGAAAACACUAUGGGUGACAAGCUCCGAGGUGGAAAAUUACUUACAGAGUUUAUACUUAUCCGAUAUCUUUUCGGGGUAGCUUAGGAGCUUCCUCCUCUUGCAGAACCUUCGACGAUUGUAUGGAUGCUUCCCCUUGGCUGGGUCGAGCUAGGCUGAACAACCUGGCUACGUAUGGUCGGUUGCACAUUGACAGGGUUGUAGACGAGGAUCAAGAAGGAGCCUUGUGUAUGGUAGAUGAGAACAAAGAUGAAGAACACAGUGGUUGAAAGAUGAAGACGAGUUUUGAAGCUGGAGAAGAUGAA
rnacentral:sRNA from 1 species